rnacentral:rRNA from 1 species
UGUGCCAGCAGCCGCGGUAAUACAGAGGGUGCGAGCGUUAAUCGGAUUUACUGGGCGUAAAGCGUGCGUAGGCGGCUUUUUAAGUCGGAUGUGAAAUCCCCGAGCUUAACUUGGGAAUUGCAUUCGAUACUGGGAAGCUAGAGUAUGGGAGAGGAUGGUAGAAUUCCAGGUGUAGCGGUGAAAUGCGUAGAGAUCUGGAGGAAUACCGAUGGCGAAGGCAGCCAUCUGGCCUAAUACUGACGCUGAGGUACGAAAGCAUGGGGAGCAAACAGGAUUAGAUACCCUGGUAGUCCAUGCCGUAAACGAUGUCUACUAGCCGUUGGGGCCUUUGAGGCUUUAGUGGCGCAGCUAACGCGAUAAGUAGACCGCCUGGGGAGUACGGUCGCAAGACUAAAACUCAAAUGAAUUGACGGGGGCCCGCACAAGCGGUGGAGCAUGUGGUUUAAUUCGAUGCAACGCGAAGAACCUUACCUGGCCUUGACAUACUAGAAACUUUCCAGAGAUGGAUUGGUGCCUUCGGGAAUCUAGAUACAGGUGCUGCAUGGCUGUCGUCAGCUCGUGUCGUGAGAUGUUGGGUUAAGUCCCGCAACGAGCGCAACCCUUUUCCUUACUUGCCAGCAUUUCGGAUGGGAACUUUAAGGAUACUGCCAGUGACAAACUGGAGGAAGGCGGGGACGACGUCAAGUCAUCAUGGCCCUUACGGCCAGGGCUACACACGUGCUACAAUGGUCGGUACAAAGGGUUGCUACCUAGCGAUAGGAUGCUAAUCUCAAAAAGCCGAUCGUAGUCCGGAUUGGAGUCUGCAACUCGACUCC